AGUGAACGCUGGCGGUAGGCCUAACACAUGCAAGUCGAACGGCAGCACAGUAAGAGCUUGCUCUUACGGGUGGCGAGUGGCGGACGGGUGAGGAAUACAUCGGAAUCUACUUUUUCGUGGGGGAUAACGUAGGGAAACUUACGCUAAUACCGCAUACGACCUACGGGUGAAAGCAGGGGAACUUCGGACCUUGCGCGAUUGAAUGAGCCGAUGUCGGAUUAGCUAGUUGGCGGGGUAAAGGCCCACCAAGGCGACGAUCCGUAGCUGGUCUGAGAGGAUGAUCAGCCACACUGGAACUGAGACACGGUCCAGACUCCUACGGGAGGCAGCAGUGGGGAAUAGUGGACAAUGGGCGCAAGCCUGAUCCAGCCAUACCGCGUGGGUGAAGAAGGCCUUCGGGUUGUAAAGCCCUUUUGUUGGGAAAGAAAAGCAGCAGGUUAAUACCCCGCUGUUCUGACGGUACCCAAAGAAUAAGCACCGGCUAACUUCGUG
rnacentral:rRNA from 1 species